rnacentral:tRNA from 1 species
GCGGUCGGUGGUGAAUGGGGCGGCGCGGUGUUGCUGGUCGCCGAGCACAGCCCGGCUGCGCAGCGCGGGUUCUGGUCCAGCUGGCCGCA